rnacentral:rRNA from 1 species
CGGACGGGUGAGUAAUGUCUGUGAAACUGCCUGAUGGAGGGGGAUAACUACUGGAAACGGUAGCUAAUACCGCAUAACGUCGCAAGACCAAAGAGGGGGACCUUCGGGCCUCUUGCCAUCGGAUGUGCCCAGAUGGGAUUAGCUAGUAGGUGGGGUAAAGGCUCACCUAGGCGACGAUCCCUAGCUGGUCUGAGAGGAUGACCAGCCACACUGGAACUGAGACACGGUCCAG